rnacentral:rRNA from 1 species
UCAAGCAUUAAGAGCGCAGGGUGGAUGCCUUGGCACUGAGAGCCGAUGAAGGACGUGAUAAGCUGCGAAAAGCUUCGGGGAGGAGCAAAUAUCCAUUGAUCCGGAGAUAUCCGAAUGGGGAAACCCACUUGAGCAAACCUCAAGUAUCCAUACGCCAAUCCAUAACGUAUGGAAGGGAACCGGGGGAACUGAAACAUCUAAGUACCCCGAGGAGAAGAAAGAAACCUCGAUUUCCAAAGUAGCGGCGAGCGAAAUGGAAAGAGCCCAAACCGUGGUGCGUGCACCGCGGGGUUGUGGACUGCAUAAGGUACUCGAAUCAAUAGCCGAACAGUUUUGGGAAAUCUGAUCAGAGAGGGUGAAAAUCCCGUAGGCGAAAUUGAUGAGAGGCUGGCAGGAUCCAGAGUACCACGAGACACGGGAAACCUUGUGGGAAGCAGGAGGGACCACCCUCCAAGGCUAAAUACUCCUCAGUGACCGAUAGCGCAUAGUACUGUGAAGGAAAGGUGAAAAGGACCCCGGGAGGGGAGUGAAAGAGAACCUGAAACCCUGUGUUUACAAGCUGUGGAAGUGCCUUAUGUGCACAACCGCGUACUUUUUGUAGAACGGUCCGGCGAGUUACGUUUACUGGCAAGGUUAAGUACUAUAGGUACGGAGCCGAAGGGAAACCAAGUCUUAAGAGGGCGUGAAGUCAGUAAGAGUAGACCCGAAACCGGGUGAUCUACCCAUGUCCAGGCUGAAGCUGCCGUAAGAGGUAGUGGAGGGCCGAACGCACAUCCGUUGAAAAGGGUGGCGAUGAGGUGUGGGUAGGGGAGAAAUUCCAAUCGAACCCGGAGAUAGCUGGUUCUCCUCGAAAUAGCUUUAGGGCUAGCCUCGAUGGAGUCUUACGGAGGUAGAGCACUGAAUUUCUAAGGGGGCGUCAAAGCUUACCAAGGGAUAUCAAACUCCGAAUGCCGUAAAGAUGCUCAUCGGGAGUCAGACUGCACGAGAUAAGUUGGGCAGUCAAAAGGGAAAGAGCCCAGACCUGCUGCUAAGGUCCCAAAGUACGUGUUAAGUGGAAAAGGAUGUGGGAUUUCGAAGACAACUAGGAUGUUGGCUCAGAAGCAGCCACACAUUCAAAGAGUGCGUAAUAGCUCACUAGUCGAGAGGUCCUGCGCCGAAAAUGUCCGGGGCUAAAACACAACACCGAAGCUUAGGAAUGUAAUUAUACAUUGGUAGAGGAGCAUUCUUAAAGAGACGAAGCAGUACCGAUAAGGAGCUGUGGAUUUUUAAGAAGAGAGAAUGCCGGAAUGAGUAGCGAGAUGGAGGUGGGAAUCCUCCAGGCCGAAUAUCUAAGGUUUCCAGAGUAAAGCUGAUCUGCUCUGGGUAAGUCGGGGCCUAAGGCGAGGUCGAAAGACGUAGUCGAUGGAUAACAGGUUGAAAUUCCUGUACUGCAUAUCAUCAGAACUGUGGGGACACAGAGAGAUACCGGAACCUGGGAAUGAAGAUACCAGGGCAAGCGAGGUAGGUGCUAAGCUGGCAAAACCGCUUAGUAAGCCGAAGACGUGAUGCGGAGCGAAUUAAAGUAGCGAAGUCCGGGAUUCGAGCUGUCGAGAAAAGCCGCUAUUGUGUGAUAUGUACCCGUACCGUAAACCGACACAGGUGGAUGAGGAGAGAAUCCUAAGGCCGGCGGGAGAAGCAUUGUUAAGGAACUCGGCAAAAUGACCCUGUAACUUCGGGAUAAAGGGUGCCACAGAGAUGUGGCCGCAGAGAAUAGGCUCAAGCAACUGUUUAGCAAAAACACAGGUCUAUGCGAAACCGAAAGGUGAGGUAUAUGGGCUGACGCCUGCCCGGUGCUGGAAGGUUACGAGGAGAGGUUAGAGCAAUCGAAGCUUUGAAUCUAAGCCCCAGUAAACGGCGGCCGUAACUAUAACGGUCCUAAGGUAGCGAAAUUCCUUGUCGGGUAAGUUCCGACCCGCACGAAAGGCGUAAUGAUUUGAGCGCUGUCUCGACAAUGCACCCGGUGAAA